rnacentral:rRNA from 1 species
GAAGGGUGCAAGCGUUACUCGGAAUUACUGGGCGUAAAGCGUGCGUAGGUGGUUUGUUAAGUCUGAUGUGAAAGCCCUGGGCUCAACCUGGGAACGGCAUUGGAAACUGGCUUACUAGAGUGCGGUAGAGGGGUGUGGAAUUCCCGGUGUAGCAGUGAAAUGCGUAGAUAUCGGGAGGAACAUCUGUGGCGAAGGCGACACCCUGGACCAGCACUGACACUUAGGCACGAAAGCGUGGGGAGCAAACAGGAUUAGAUACCCUGGUAGUCCACGCCCUAAACGAUGCGAACUGGAUGUUGGGUGCAAUUUGGCACUCAGUAUCGAAGCUAACGCGUUAAGUUCGCCGCCUGGGAAGUACGGUCGCAAGACUG